UACGUAGGUGACAAGCGUUGUCCGGAUUUACUGGGCGUAAAGCGUGCGUAGGCGGUUUGUUAAGUCCGUUGUGAAAGCCCUGGGCUCAACCUGGGAAUUGCAGUGGAUACUGGCGAGCUAGAGUGCGGUAGAGGAUGGUGGAAUUCCCGGUGUAGCGGUGAAAUGCGUAGAGAUCGGCAGGAACACCCAGGGGGAAACCAGCCGACUGGGCAUCUACUGACGCUGAGGUGCGAGAGCGUGGGGAGCGAACAGG
rnacentral:rRNA from 1 species